CAACACAGCGGCAUUCCUCAAGAAUCCCCACUCUCAGUAAUUCUGUUCCUAAGUGAAUGUAAGGCUUCUGUUGAUAUCGAAAAACUCGAAAAAAGUCCGACGACUAAUCGAGACGUGUGCCAGUUUAAAGUUGCCGUCCAUACGAAUCAAACAAGCAACAUUGGACAAAGUGCAUGGUAUAUUAGAUUUCAUUAUACCUUUUACUCGUAGAGUUAAAGGGUAUACUAGAUUCGUCGGAGAGUAUGUAAGAGUGUCCAUCUGGAGGAGCUGGAGGGGAUCCACUAGAGAAUACCAGUGGGAAGGAGCAUACCCUACCGCACGUGUCAUCGCAAGGAAACGGGGCCACCAGUAAUACGAUUUCCGAUCUGUUCAUUGGGGAAUCGUUGGACUCCACCACCACUAGCUACUUGCCACUUGAAGAGAAGACGUGCUGGAGAGAGAGGGAGGAGAAAAAAAGUCCGCCCGCUAAAAGACCGCUGUCGGACCAGUCAGAUUGCUAGGCGAAUUUCUGCAGCAUCAACGGAACAACCCAAUCAGGCUCCCAUGCUGGAAUAUUUGGAAUCGGAGCUGAAUUGCGGAUAGCGCGGAGAGGAUGGAGAAGCAUCCGCGAGACGAGAAGGAUCCACUAAGCUAUUAAUUUACAUAAAUAAAAACA